GGGGCACGACUUGGCUCGCGUUGCUGCGGCGGCCGCUGCAGACCCUGCUCCAGGCGCCGUAGCCUUGCAGGAAGAGCAGACAAAGACAGGAGAGAGGCAAAGCGCCGCUUGCCCAGAGAUGCAGUCGGCUCAGUCAAUAGAGGGAAAUCGCCUCCAAACCCAGGCUGGGAAUGAGGGAGGAGGGGCGAGGCGGCUGGGGACUAGAAAAAGCAGCAGGGAAUUAACGUGACAGUCAGAGCCCAGCCAGUGCCUCGCCGGCGCUGCUCUCUCGCCUCGCGGUUGCGGGGUCCGGAAUGGAGAGAGGAGGCGGGGGCUGAGCGUUGGCUGCCGGAGACCAGCUGAGGAGAUUUUAGAACACAAACAUAGAUACAUGUGGAUAGCAGCCAAUACAGAGAGAGGGAGAGAGAAAAAGGAGGGAUCAGAAGCUAUAUUUGUAACUUUUGAUUAGUGAACUACAGAAGGAAGCCUAACACUGCAGGACCAUGACCUUCACAUCUACUUUAGUGGCCCCUCUGGGUCAGAGAUGGAUGAAAUGGAAAUGCAUUUCUCUGAGCCCAGGAAUUGAGUUUCUGAAAUCUGAAUCACUGGGGUGCCUGAAACUCUGCUGUCUAAUGGAUGAAUGGGUCGAAAAUGUGAAGAUAUGAUUACCAUGAAUCCUUUGUACAAGGUGAUCCAGUUAACUACUAAUAACAAACCAUCCUUAAACUUCUUGGCUUAAGAUAACAGCCAUCAUUUAUUUAGCCUGAAUCUAAAAUUUGGACAAGGCUCACUGAGUAAUGCGCACCUCUGAUCCACUUCCCACAUGGCUCGCCAUAUACCUGACAGGCUGUGUUGGCUGUUGGCUAUUGGUUGAGCAUCCGACAGGAGUUGAGAACCAGGGACCUUAGUUUCUCUCCAUGCGGGGCUCUCCCUGUGCAUCACACCAUAGGUUCUCAAAGACUUCCUCACCGCAUAGCGGUUGGGUUCACCAGGAGAGCUCCAACAGGGGUCAGACCCUUUCCAGAUAAUGAAAACCUGAACAAUUUAGCCUUAUCAAUUGUACAAAUUCAUCCAGUCUUCAAACAGUAUCAUAAAUUUUAGCCCAGAACACACCAGGCAAACUGAACCAGUGAACUAACGAAUCAUUUGAACGAUUUAGGCAAAUGGAUCAAUUUUUCUUUUAUAUGUUGAGAUAAUUUCAUCAACAAUUGGAGUCUUAGUCAAUUAAAUGAAUUCACAAUAGUUUCUAUAUUAAAAAAAUUAAUGAUGUCUUCACAUAGGGAAGACUAAAUUUCUCAUGGUAUUUUUAAAGGCCUCUGCAAUUUAACUCUCUUCCCAGUCCUAUCUCAUCACCUCCUCUAGUCUCUCAUAUUUAUCCAUCUUACCUGAGCCUUGUUUUGACUUGUAUUAGGGCUGAAUGUUGAGAAGUCUCCCUUUCUUACUAGACUCUAAGUUCCUUGAGAGCAGAGACUUUUUCAGUUUAUGUCCCCACAACCCUCAGCCCUGAGACAUGCAUGAAGUAUGUGCUUGAUAUACCUUUACUGAAAAAAUGAAUAAUUCAACAUCCCUUGGCUUUCUAAUUCAAUCAUUCAUUUUCCAAAAUGGCAAUAUUGGUCAUGAGUUACUUCACAGGGAAGCUAAUUAAUUCCCUGAAACUGGAAAAUGUUUUGAAGUUCCACAGUACUUUAGAAGCACACAGGAACAUUAAUAUGUGUAAUACAUACAUUAUUAUUACUUCCCUGACACAUAAAUGGUAAAUAAUCCCUUUUUAGUGUGUUUGUUUUGGAUGUACUGGACAAAUUUGCAGAAAGUAAUGUAUUGUUGGCUCAUUUCUACUAAUGGACACCUGUGUGGACUGAAUAAGAUGUGGUCUCUUCUAGCUCUAUUAUUUGUUUAUUUCUCCAACUUUCAGAGCCACUAUUUAUACAUGCUUCUUGCCAGAAAGGUGACCAUGACAUGAGAAUCGGCCUUCUUGGGGUUCUAUGUCUUAACAGAUAGUACGGGUACCUAUACAAUUCUAGGAGUGCCCCAGCCACAUAAUUACUGUGAUGUAACUACAAAGCUGCAUGAUCUAAUAGAGAAUCCUUGCCCCAAAGUGGAACUGUCUCUCCUCUGGAAAUUUUGUAUAAGAAAACUGGGAGGGUUGGGUUAACCUCUCUGGUAGCUAAAGCUGCAAGAUUUAAAUCAUAGGUGCAAUGAGCAGGUAUACUGUCUGCCAUGUGGAGAAAGCCAUACUGCAGUAUGAGUGAUAAAGCUGCCACACAGGUACAGACGUGAGAGACAGGGCAAUUCCCUGUAGCUUCUAUGCCCCUGGAUACAGCUAUUUAAAGGUCCAGCCAUGUCUCUGUUCUUCCCAUAGCUUUUUAUAUAUCCACUCAUUUCAAUAAGUUUCCCUUUUUACUUAAAGUCAUUCAAAUUUUCUUUCCAUCAUUUGGGACCCAAAAAAUUUCAACUAAUGCAACAUCAAAGAAAGAUUUGAGGAAUGACUCUCAGAAAAUGUUUAAUUAAAAGUUGGAGAGAAGUAUUUUGGGAUGCUUUGAUAUAAGGCUUACAUUUUUCAAAGUUAAAAGCCCAAAAGCAACAUAAACUGAACUAUUUUUCCAGACAGUAAAAAUAGGACCUUAAAUGUGAAAACAUGAUCCCAGUGUUUGUAAUUUACUAGAAUGUAGACUUCAUGAAGGCAGAGAUUUGGAUCCUUUGCUACUAUAUUCCAACAACUAGAAUAGAAUUCUACGUAGGGUAGGAUAUUAAUAUUUAUUGAAUAAGUUGAUGUAUUUCCUUGUUGCAUCUCUUUCUUAAUCCCAGUAGGAAUAUGAAAAAUUCUCAUUUAUUGAACUCAUGCUAUAAAACAGCCAUCGUGCUAAAAUGUUGUCAAAAUUUCAUUUUUUACCAGAUGUUGGGGUGGGGAUGGAGGGCAACUGUUCUCAUAGAUAAAACAGUUUGCUCAAGGGCACACAGGUUCUAUAUAUUGAGGCUAGGGGUUAAACCCAGGAUCACCUGUCUCCAAAACAUGUGUUUUUUCUACCAUCCCACAAUCACAUAUUAAUGUGUUCCUUUAUAGGGCAGAAAUCUUUCCUGAGGUAUUAAGAUGUAAGGCGUAGAGCUAGACUGGUAUUUUGCUUCAUAUAUAAUUGCAGCUUUAAAUAUCAAGGGUUUAAUGAAUAAAGAAUUAGUUCCCAUUUUAUAGACAAGUAAGUGGAGGUCUAUGGUGUUGCCUCAGUAUUCAUCAAUGUCUUCUCUGAAAGUCUUAUUAUGAGGAUGGAAGCUCCACUCUUGCUCCUCUUGCCUCCCCAUGAAGAGACUUCAUAACAUCUUAGUCUCUUGUAGCUGUUGCUGCUCUACCACACAGCUUCCAACUGCAAGGAAGCACCUGCUUCUCUAUGCCUGGUCUUUUGACGAGUGCCAGGGGACUUACUGCUCCAUUACCAAUAACUGAUGAGAAAUGAUGGAUAAAUAUCCCACAUGCAACUCCUCUUUUGAGAUGUCUCUAAGGCAUGUUGUACACUGUGCCCCAGAAGUCCUGUAUAUGAUUAAGCACUCGUUACACACAACACUAGCUUGCCCAAAAGCGAACCCUUUAUUGGCUUCUUUCCCAUCCUUGUCUCACUGCCCUAACUCUACCAGAAUUUUCCAAAUAAAUUUCUUGAAUUCACACCCUUAUCCCAAAGGUUUGCAUCUGGGAUACCCCCAACUAAGGCAUCUCUCUGGCCCAUUCACUCUUGAACUCUAAAAGAGAGGGUCAAAUUACCUGAUUGAUCAGUUUAAAAGAAGACACUGAAAAUUAUCCUUACAUUUAUCUCUUUUGAAGAUAUCAAGUACAUAGGACACAAACGUGUUCAGACUGCACCCUGCCAUGUGCUUAAGGACUUGCACUUUGGGGAAGGUCUUAGUCACUGAAUGAACAAGUCAGUUUACUUCAAAAGUAAGGUAUUAGGACAUAUCAAAGUCCUUAUAGAUCUAAAAUCACGUUUCCAAUCAACUUUAUUUGCAAUACAGUGGACAUUUUAAUUUCCAUCAAAAUUAGCUUCACAUGAUUCAUAAUAGCCAAAAGGUAGAAACAACCCAAAUGUCUCCAUCAACUGACAAAUGGAAAGAGAAAAUAUAUUAUAGCCAUAUAAUGAAAUAUUACUUGGCCAUAAAAAGAGAUGAAGUACUGAUACAUGCUAUAGCAUGGAUAGACCAUGAUACUAUGGUAAGUAGAAUAAGAAGCCAGUCACAAAAGAUCACAUAUUGUGUUAUUCUAUUCACAUGAAAUGUCUGGGACAGAGAAAUUUACAGAGACAGAAAGUAGAUUAGUGGUUGCUUAGGGCUGUGGUAUGAGUUGGAGAUGAAAAACAUGAUAACUAAAGAGUGUGAGGUUUCCUUUUGAGGUGAUAAAAAUGUUUUAACAUUGACUGAAGUGUUGGUUGUCCUAUAUCUAUCAAUAAAAGCCAUUGAAGUGUAUUCUUUAAGUAGAUGAAUUAUGUCUCAAAAAAGUGGUAAAAGCUAGCCCCACGUGGUGAUGCAAAAUGUUAAUGUUGUGUGAAAGAUACAUGACAGCUCUGUGCUAUCUUUGCAACUCCUCUGUAAAUAUAAAACAGUCAUCUCUUAAGGUUGUAAUAAUCAAUUGAGAUAUUAUAUAUGACACCACUGUACCUGGCAAAUACUCUCUUUCCCCCUCCUCCUUCUCCCUCUAACUAAAAUAGGGACCCAUGUGGAGAUAUAUAUAUAUACACACACAUAUAUAUAUACACACAUAUAUAUAUAUACACACACACACACAUAUAUAUGUAUAUAUAUACACAUGUAUAUAUAUGUGUGUGUAUAUAUAUGUAUGUAUACAUAUAUAUAUAGAUAUAUGGACAGCACCACGUCUGCUUCUGAGGCAUCUGAUUUUUUUUCCCUAAAAUCUCCAUUAUCCUUUAUGUCCUCUUGUUACUUUACGGGUGUAACAUUUGGCCCGAUAAGGUGUAGUUAAUAUCCCUAUUACUACAAUUUAAUAGACAUAAUAAGCCAAUUCAGUUUUCAAUGCCAGAGAUUUGGGCAAAAAAUAAAGCAGGGUGACAUCAAUAACUGAUGCCAGUGUGGCCCUUCUCAGCAAUUGUUUUUUUCUUGUUUCUUUUGCACCCCAUCAUAGCUAUUUUUGUUAUUUAUGUGUGUUUUAUGAAAAUGGUAGCAUUCCACCAGAUCCACAUGUAAGCCUCGAGUUGCUGAUGCAGGCUUUCCUUCCUCCUUCUGUAGAACUUGUGAAAGCCAGCACAAUAUUUCUGUUAGUUGGUCUGGAGUCAAUUCUGUUUCUAAUUAUGGGGUUUAUUUUCUUCUUUUGUUGUAAAGUUUUCUCCACUCCCUGGGGGUGUUUCAAGGAUUUGACAAGGAAGCUUUCCCUAUGGUCCUGAUUUCAUCGUAGAAGCCAAGGGUGUGGAGGAAAUGCCCUUGCUGGAGUGGAGGCGGAGGUUUCAGUCCUCUUUCUAAACUUAAAAGGAACUAAGGAAACCAGAGACAAGCCAUCUAAUCCCUUCAGGCUUCAGUGUUUUCUUCCGUAAAAUGAGAGGAUUGGCUUGAAUGUCUCUAAAGUUUCACUCAGGCCUGACAUUCUCUCAAAAUGCAAGCAUUUUCCUGAAGUUUACUGACAAGCAGUUGCCAAACACCAGAAGAGUGCUGAUAUGUUGCUAGCUAAUAUUAUCUCUCAUCUGUUUGCAGCAUUUUGCUCGGAGAUCAUCAGUGAGAGCAGUUCAGUGUUCUGAUGUCUGCUCUGAGGAAAGCUUUAGAGAACACAGGAACAGGGAGUGAUACAGAGGGUAGAUUCCUCCAACAUGAGUACAGAUGAUGUUGCUCUGUUAUGAUGUUCAUGCAGACACAGAGAGACCAACCGAAGGCUAGUCUUAGUGGCUGAAAGAUGAGUAUUACAUAAGUGCAAUUUUACUUUCUGCGUUAAUCUUUGCUGAGGUAAUUGUCUUCAUUCUAUUUUCAGUGUGUUGUUGGCAGUGUUGCAUGGCCUACUGACAGUUGCUCAAUAAAAAUAGAGAUCUUACCCUA
rnacentral:lncRNA from 1 species